UACAGAGGUCCCAAGCGUUGUUCGGAUUCACUGGGCGUAAAGGGUGCGCAGGUGGGUUGGCAAGUUCGAUGUGAAAGCCCCGGGCUUAACCCGGGAACGGCAUUGAAUACUGUCGAUCUGGAGGAUUGGAGGGGGGACUGGAAUUCUUGGUGUAGCAGUGAAAUGCGUAGAUAUCAAGAGGAACACCAGUGGCGAAGGCGAGUCCCUGGACAAUACCUGACACUGAGGCACGAAAGCCGGGGGAGCAAACAGG
rnacentral:rRNA from 1 species